rnacentral:misc_RNA from 1 species
GAUGAAGAACGUAGCGAAAUGCGAUAAGUAAUGUGAAUUGCAGAAUUCAGUGAAUCAUCGAAUCUUUGAACGCAUCUUGCGCUCCUUGGUAUUCCGAGGAGCAUGCCUGUUUGAGUGUCAUUUAAAGUUCUCAACUGCAUACAUUAUCAAUGGAUGUGGCUUGGAUGUGGGGGUCAUCUUGCAGGCUUCUCUCUGAAGUUGUCUGCUCCCCUGAAAUGCAUUAGUGGUAUCUGAGCUACUUACAGAUGUGAUAAUUAUCUACAUCAAAGUAUGCUGCACACUGCUUCCUAACGAGUUUUGAAAUUUGAUGAAGUUGACCUCAAAUCAGGUAGGACUACCCGCUGAACUUAAGCAUACAAUAAGCGGAGGA